ensembl:lncRNA
GUGAGAGAGGGGAGGGUAGAGAGAGAGGGGAGGGUAGAGAGAGAGAGGGAAGGGUAGAGAGAGAGAGGGGAGGGUAGAGAGAGAGGAAAGGAGAGCGAGAGAGAGGAAAGGAGAGCGAGAGAGGGGAGGGUAGAGAGAGAGGGUAGGGUAGAGAGAGAGAGAGGGAGGGUAGAGAGAGAGGAAAGGAGAGCGAGAGAGAGGAAGGUAGAGCGAGAGGAAAGGAGAGCGAGAGAGGGGAUGGUAGAGAGAGAGAGGAAAGGAGAGCGAGAGAGAGGAAAGGAGAGCGAGAGAGGGGAGGGUAGAGAGAGAGGGGAGGGUAGAGAGAGAGAGGGGAGGGUAGAGAGAGAGAGGGGAGGGUAGAGAGAGAGGAAAGGAGAGCGAGAGAGAGGAAGGUAGAGCGAGAGGAAAGGAGAGCGAGAGAGGGGAGGGUAGAGAGAGAGAGGAAAGGAGAGCGAGAGAGAGGAAAGGAGAGCGAGAGAGGGGAGGGUAGAGAGAGAGGGGAGGGUAGAGAGAGAGGGGAGGGUAGAGAGAGAGAGGAAAGGAGAGUGAGAGCGAGAGAGAGGAAGGUAGAGAUAGAGGGGAGGGUAGAGAGAGAGAGAGGGAGGGGUAGAGAGAGAGAGAGGGGAGGGUAGAGA